UACAAGUCCGUGCUUGCCAACAGCUCUGAUAGGCUAAACAGGCGCUAAACACAAGGUAAUCCCAGGUAGGUCCUUAAUCCGCUGCAGACGGUUCGGUUCCUUGUGGACGUUGCCAAAGUAGCUCAUUAAGCACAUUCAACGCCCCACUUUUUUUUUUUUUUCCUUUUUUCUUUUCCUGUUAGUGUGUGCGCAAAGGAGCUGAGCUUCUGGCUGACCUGCUCCUCUUACGCCCCUGCUGGUUCUCCUCUCGGUGGGCUCCGGGAUGCUUCAUGGUGUUUGUGCCAUCUAGGGUUUUCCGCUGUUCUAUUGCAGCCUUUCCGGCACAGAGACCCUACAUCUACUCCAUCUACACGCUCUCCGGACGAGCAAGUCGCCUCUGAAAUAUUAAAGAUAAACUCUCAACUUUGUUGCUUUGGAUUUUUCCGUCUCCUUUUGAAAGAAUCCCUGCUUUCUGUUCGGAUAACUACUUUGGAUAUUGCAACCAUUCCAAGGACGAGGAUUCGAUUAGCGGAGAGCAGACAGGGGGGGGAAGACCUGUUUGUGCGAAUGUAGCGACUUUUCCGGCGAGGAAAUGCACUGACAACUGCAGCGAGCUGGUUAUUUUUACUACAAAAAGAAUGCUGUGAAGCUCCAUGUCGCAGCUUGGCUUCCGGCUAAAAAAGCGCAGAUUUAACGCAGCAUCUGCUGGUGCGGGGAGGGAAAAAAACUCGUCUAGAGCGAGAGAAGGAGCGAUAUGCGGUCGGCGUGCGCCUGGUUUUGCGGUUCUUCUGGAAUUAGUGGAGGAAUGGAAAGGGAGCGGCUGUAAGGUUCAAACCUUGAGAAGGGGGGGGGGGAAAGGAGUUUUGUGUUUGGCACGUAAUGGAUCAUUAUCCGCCGGUGCAGGUAAAAGAUUGAACGGAUGAGGCGGAGGACGUCUUCCCCGGCACAAACGCACACAAAUAUUGUAGCAUUCAUCCGCGGGGGGAGGAGGACCUGCGACUCACUGUUGCCCAAAGGAGAAAUUCAAGGCGGCUUGAAAAACCAAAACGAGACAAAUACAGCCAAGAAGAUGCAAAGCGGACUUGGACCCUAUAUUUCUCAAAUGAAUCAAUAUGUGUUUGGAUACCUGACCUGAUCAAACAGCAGAAGCCUGUGUUUGUGAGUAUGAAUGUGUUCAUUACUGUGACUGAGAUGUUUUGCACAGAUGUUAGGCUUUAGAUUAUCAUGCACCCUUCAUUUUGCACCAGGUGGGUGUGUGGGGAUUCUGCAGUGUGCUGAUGAUGUGAGGCUUAAGUUGGAUCUUGGAUAUUGGAGAGUGUUCAUCUCGUGGUUCAGACUGUGGUUACCUAAACCAGAUAUAUCUAGUCAGGCCUGUGAUUGA